GAGUGCGUAGCUCAGCUGGAUAGAGCGCAAGCCUCCUAAGCCUGAGGUCGAGGGUUCGAAUCCCUUCGCGCUCA
rnacentral:tRNA from 1 species